UCCACACAUAUUAAGGAGGGACCAGCCUUAUGUGACGAAGGAAACGUCACAGUCACUGACAUUUAUACACCCACAGAACUUGCACAGACAGAAUGUCCAUUUACUCCUAUUACAGAGGAUUCAGCCUUGUGUGAAGAAGGAAGUCUCGGUGAUCUGGACAUUCAAACCUCUCCUUGUGAUCCUGUGAGUCAAUACAAAAUAGAUCCCAAUAACUUUGAUGGUCAUAAAAUUUCAUCCACAAAUUUAAAUCAAAUGAAAUAUCAGAGAUUCCGUAAAGGGAAGAAAUUGACUUGUUCUGAAUGUGGGAAAUCUUUCAGCCAUAAAAUCAGCAUUGAUAGGCACAUGAUGAUUCACACACAAGAGAAACCAUUUUCAUGUUCUGAAUGUGGGAAAUGUUUCACUCAAAAAAGCAACUUUUAUACACAUCUCAGGAUUCACACAGGAGAAAAACCAUAUUCAUGUUCUGAAUGUGGACAUUGUUUCAGUCAUAAAUCAAGGCUUAUUACCCAUAAACGGAUUCAUAGUGGAGAGAAACCUUUCUCCUGCUCUGAGUGUGGGAAAUGUUUUAAUCUGAAAGGCAACUUAAAUAAACAUCUCAUGAUUCACACAGGAGAAAAACCAUUUUCAUGUUCUGAAUGUGGGAAAUGUUUCAGUCGUAAAAACAAACGUGAUAGCCACAUGAGGAUUCACACAGGAGAGAAACCAUUUUCAUGUUCUGAAUGUGGGAAACGUUUCAGUCAUAAAAGAAACAUUGAUAGACACGUGAUGAUUCACAGAAGAGAAACCAUUUGCAUGUUGUGAAUGUGGGAAAUGUUUUUCUCAGAAAUGUUACCUUAAUGCUCAUGAAAGAUUUCACAAUACCAAUAAAUCUAAAACAGAAAAGAGUAAAGGCGCUCACUAUAAUAAAAUAAAAACCUCCUUGCAACUAUAUCUAGCAAACCAAAGAUUAAUAAGUGCCUAACCCUAAAAGAUCUAUGGAGUUACACUAAUGGUAUACACAUAUGAAUAAAUGUGUAUCUUGUCAUUAUUAUUAUUAUUAUUUAAAAAGCACCAACAAAUUCUGCAGUGCUGUACACUGGGACAUCGAUGUUACUUAAUAAAUUUAAAAAAAAACUAAUUGUGUAAUAAUUCAAACAAAAGUGAAUAUAUAAUUGAAGUGUCAAGGGAGAACUCACUAUAUAGAGCUACUAAGAGCUCUGCUGUAGAAGACAUGGAUGGUAUAAUUAACAAAAAGGCAAAAGAUGGAACAGCACUAAGUUAUAAAAAGGAGGGGCCAGGCAGCACUCCUAAAUGGGUAAAUUCUCUCCUAGACACCCAAAGAAGGAAACAGACAAUAUACAAAACACAUAGAGAAGGGUGCGCCAAGGGAUAAGGGAUGAAACA